rnacentral:lncRNA from 1 species
UUUUUUUUUUUUUUUUUUUUUUUUUUUUUGGCACUGCUCUCCUAAGUGCUAAUUCUGUCUUGCCCCAGUUUACAUGGUAGUGUUGCAGCCUCUCAGGGAACCUGUAUUCUCUCGAAGUAAUCUUCUAAGUGUGUGUGUCUGUCUGUGGAUUACCUCAUUUAGCCAGUUCUAGCUAGGAGUCUCGCUUGUGGCAAGUGAUUUGGGAACAACUGCUCAUUAGCUCUGGGAAAAGAGGUAUACAUACAAUCAGUGUGUGUGGUGCGUGCUUUGGGUCAUCCCCUUUUAAAUGAGAUCUGGAAAUAAAGUGCUCUCUCUCUGAGCUAACUGUGAAAAUGCAACCCAGGAAAGAAACUGCUCUGCUUGACCAGGAGACCAUUUCUCACUGUAGACGCAGUGUGUGGAACUGUAGUAAAGGGCAGCGGUAAUUGACUUUGCAUUUGUCCCCCACCCCCCACCCCCAGCUUCAGUGUCCUGGCUUCUGCAUCCUCUGUGUUGCAGGCCUGAGUUUACCUGGGAGGGGGUGCUCUGGGCCGAGGUCUCUAGACUUUUUCACCCUUCCUCUGUUACUCUUCCCUGGCUGUAUUGCUCCCUAAAAGAACAAAUUGAAACACAGAAGUGUUUUCCUUGUUGCUCAGGUAAUUCCUCACGUAUGCAAAGCGGGUGCUGAGCCUCACAGUCCAACCUCUUAAGGGACAUCAGGCCUCGCCCCUCGUCCAUCCUGUGCUCAAUUUCAGGCUCCUGGCCCCGCUGGCCCACCAGGCUCAGGGGGACUGUGACCUUUCAGCCAGCUUUCUAGUGCCGCUUUCUGUUGACAAGUAACAUUAGGUUUUUUUUUGUUUUGUUUUGUUUUGUUUUUGUUUUUUUUUUUUUUUUUUUAAUUCCCUGAGCAAAUGAGGCCACUCCCAGAGAAGAAACGAGUUGCUUUGCCCAAGCAUCACAAACAGUGCGUGUUCUGAGGACAGUAAGCUUAAUUUUCAGAGACAUAAAUCCACAUAUGUAUUUCUUCUGAUUUCUUCUCUUGCAGGCCACGCACUGCUGAGCUAAACUGCUGGUUCUCCUACUGAGUUGACGAGCAGCCUCAGUCUGUGCCAAUUAAGGGGAAAUUUCUUUGACUUUAAACCAAAAGGAAGGGAAAGUCAGAUUCGGUUAAACCACAAAGAAGCCACAUGCUCUCCUGUGCUCAGUGUGUCCCCUAAGCCCAGAGAACAUGCAUUUUGCCCUGUAUUCAAAGCAUCCCAGAAGGGCUAGUGGAAUCAAUUGCUCUCCCCUUUGGUGCUGUGGAAGCCCACUUCCACUCUCUGCCACAAGGACAGUUAUGCAACCUGAGGCUGAGUAGUUAAGUAUACAGUGUCCUAAGUUCAGAAACAUGGGUAGAAUGCAGACAUCGAGGGGAGUGCUUCCGAAUGGAAUGGAGGCGAGGCACGCAACAGUGACCAAGAGAGGAACGCAGGAGUAGGUGUGGGGUCUGCACACUGGUGUGUGUGUGCCCCUGUAUACACUCUAGGUAAGAUCCCUGUGCCUCCACUGGGAUCAGUGUCCACACCCUCCCAGCCUAAGAGCUGCAGGACUCACGUGCUUGGCUUGAGGCUGGACUCCUUCCUUCUGGCUCUGAUAUGGGUGGGGAGCCUCAGCUGCUGGCUGUGCAUAGUUGGGAGAGAGGGGAGUUGUGGUAAUGGUGACCCCAGUGAUGUCAAUAGAACAAGUUGUGUAUUUUAUAUGUAUUGUAACGAGCAACUGUUUGUUAUUAAAUCGUGACGGAUGAUAAUGUAAGUGUUUGGCUUUAAUGGAACACAUGGCCCUUGCUCUUUGAGACUUUCUUUUCUUUUGUCUUUGUACUAUUAUAAAAGUAGUAUAAUCACAUUGCUUUAGAUAGGGGAGAAGCCAUGGGGGAAGAGAGACUGAUUUCUCAUCUUCACACAAACGGGUCAUCUUUGGCAUUCUGUUUUACUAUUUAAGCUUUUCAACUUAAUGUUUUGUGCUUGUUCAGCUCCUGUGACCCCAUUCCGCUCUUUCCACCAUUACCAGAGCCUGGCGGACUCCUGCUGUUUGCACUUUGUAGCACUUAGGGCACGUUUCUUAACGUCAUUAAGCCUUAUCUCCUUUUCUGUAAAAUGGAAGUAUUACUGACUUCAUAGAUUAUGAGAAAUAAAUGAUACGAUGUAUUAAUAUUUAAAUCUAUAUAAAGUUCCUAAUGUAUUUAAAGAACUUAAUUCACUGCUUGGCUCAUGGUGAAAUGCAGCCAGUCCAUGUCUAUAUGUAUAUUUAUAUCUACGUACAUACGUAAGAUGUGCAUUCAGCUAUGGGUGUGUGCAUAUGUGUAUGUGUAGACAUAUAUGUAUAAUGGUUUUUGACUUCUUUUAGAAAUGAAAGCAUGAGUUUUAUUUCCAAGUAAGUGCGCCUCCUGGGAUGCCCGUGGGAGUGCGGACGCCUGGGAUAAUGGCUUGGGAUGGAAGGAAGCUAGAAGACCCGCAGUCAGCGAAGCAAGUGACUGCGAUGCCUGCCUCCCGGUAGCAGGCUCAUAUCCAGUGCUGCUGUCCACUGGUUUUCCUUGUUGUGGCAAGUGCUAACCUUUGAAGAAUGUGUUCCCAGGAGUGGCAUCUGUUAACGACACUAACCUCAUCAAUGCUGCCUGUACUGCUCUUACUUUGUGAUUAUAAUAAACAUUUUAUGGGAUAAAA